CACAGUGAUUUGGCCUUACUAGGUUUGUGUUUUUCCAGGAAAACCAAACGAGAAGAGUCACAGGGAAGAAAAGGACCCACACAACGAAAGCGCGAAGCAGAGCAAGGCAACCAGAAGCCAACAGGGAGAGGGGACCUGGCGAGGCCGGUGGCAGUGCCCAGCCCACUCGCUCUCCUCCCGCGGAGGAUGAGGCCCUCCCUGACAACCAGCCCCACACACAGGCAGCUGUGGCCUUCCCCCUGGGUCAGGCCACUAGUGGGUGUGGGCAGGGACACGCACUGACACGACUCCUAUGCAACAGGAAUACAAAACUAAGAAGUCUUACCCAGUGUGUCCUUGAGGGCAGCUCUACCACCAGCCUCCACCACCACAAGACGGCUGCCUCCUCAGGGCGCUUGUGCCCCAGCACUGAGGGAGAGCUGGGCCCCCCUCUCCUCACAGGUACUUUCUCAGCCCCGCAACCCCCUCAGUGCACCCUGGCACCAUCCUGGCCAGAGGCUUCCCCUCAGAGGGGCAGCAUGAGGGGGUCCCUCCCCUGGCUUGCACCCCACCAGUCCCACAGCCUGACAGGGCAGCAGCUCCCUACACAAGGCCAGGCCCCUUGGGCUGCCCCACACCAGACAGAGCCCACCAGCAGCCCCAGCUCAUUUUUCAACUCCAGGCACAGGUGUAGCUGGGCUCAGGUCAGCCCUACGCCCAUUUAUCCUCAUCAGCAACAAGCUUUGUUUUGUUAUUUGCCUCAAUAUCAUCUACACAGGCAGGUAUGGGAUGAAGCCAUCACUCUUGGAGGCUUUCUCCCAGAUUAACUUGUGAAGAGAAAGGAGAGGAGGAGGUCCCACCUGCUGUGUCACACAGCAGGCCAGGGCAGCGAACACCCCACGACAGCCUGGCUAAGGGUGACAGGAGCCCAAACAGGCCCCAGCUCCAACGCGCAACCAGCCCACUCCCUCAGAUCCUCCCAAAGGGCAGGUAAGACAUGCCGGUUCCUCACCUAACCCAGCCGACCACCUCCUCCAGGGCCAGGUGGGCGCAAAGCUGCUCUUCAUACCGUUGACUGGAGCUUCCCCUCAGGAAGCCCUGGCAGACAUGGAGCCC
rnacentral:lncRNA from 1 species